CUAUGUUGUGCAAUGUGUUAUACUUUGCCAUUUUUUCCAUUCCUGUUUCUUAUGUAUACAUUUGCAUAUAUAAAAAUACAUCAACACAUGCAUGCCAAAAAAGAAAACAAACAAAAAAAAACCCACACAAGCUUUACCAGUAAACUCAAUCACAUAAAAAACCCCAUUAGCUUAAAUAAACCAUCUGCCUAUUAACUGUUUACUUAAAUGCUGUGCCGAAAAACAAACAAAAAGAUAUAGAUAUAUAUAUAGAUAGCUACCAAUAUAUCUAUAUCUAUCUACAUAUAGAUAUAGAUAUCUAUAGAUAUAGAUAGAUGUAUAGAUAUAUAGUUAUAUAGAUAAAUAUAAAAAUCACAUAUACGUCACAUCAUCUUGUUGAUACCGGCAAGAAAAGAUGGUCAACCAGUUUUACAAGCUGCGUCUCUGUUCAGCACCUGAUGUCAUCGUAUCAACUUUGUGCAGGUAUAAAAGCUGCAGACCAUCAGAGAUUAAACAACAAACAGCUGGAGUCGGUGAGCAUCGGCACGACUGAAGACAACUCAGGACGAUUAAACUGUUGAACGACUUUUCCACAAUGAUUCUCAAGAUCUGUUUCAUUCUGCUUCUGCUUGUCGCCAUUUCACAGAUACCAGAAGCGAAUGCAGGACAGCAAUCUUCAAACAGCACAGCAAACAGCACAGCAAACAGCACAGCAAACAGCACAGCAAACAGCACAGCAAACAGCAGAGCAGUCAUUAACAAAAUCAGCCUGACUUCUGUCACAAUGGCCGUCGUAGCUGCUGUGCUUCCAUAACAUAGUUACAGUUGUAACUAUGUUGUUACAACUUUCUUUUUCCUAUUUUACCAUGUAUUUGUCUGUGUAUUUUUCAUAUCCUAUCAAAGUAGAGAAGUUUCAAAAAGGGGAGGGAUGAUAAAUAAAAGGGGAUCUAAACUGUCUUUUGAACACAUGUAAAUGAUCCAUUUUACUGUAUGCUUUCACAAGAUUGUGACUUUCUUUGUGGCAAAGGUCAACAAAUAAAAUGUUUACUAAUCAGAGGAAACCGAUUCAGUCACACAUGUUAAGAUUUAUUGUGAUGACCAUCUAUCAGCAUUGUGAAAAUAGCUAUAUCUAACCUGAUUUAUGGGAGAAUAUGUUAACUUACUAGCCAAUAAAUGACAAUGAUCACUUCAGUUUUGCUUUAUUCUGUCCGUUAACCAGUCUUUUUACUUAUUCAGCAUCUUUGCACUCUGCACCACAGAUAUGCUAUACGUGUGGUUGUUGUCUCCGUCAUGUUGUCAACUUUAUUAUGGACACUGAGAGCAAAGAAAAAAGCCGAGGUCACUUCCUUGUACUUGGUCAAUAAAGCUGAACCUGAUUCUAUCAAA